GCCCACCUGGAACUCACCAGAGGACUUCUGCCGACUAUUUUCCUGCCGAUGUUUCGGGCCACAGACAUGAGGACUAAUGCUGCUUCCCAUGAAGACCGACUGAUUGACGCUGCUGAAGUCAAAUAAAUGCUGAUGGUACUAAGAAUUUGGCUUGCACUUUAUCAGUAGCCCUCAAAUCUCAUUACCAGGUGUGCACACAAUAGGAAGAGAAAGCCUCCUGCCACUGCAGUUUUCUUGGGGAUUCCAGCAGCUCAAGAGCAUUUAUGGCCUAAUGGAGUAAGCCUCAAUGGGUGGCUUUUUGGCUCUCAAAAGGAAAAGAAGAUUCUUACCUUCUGCUUGUAAGUUCAAAGUGCUGAUUCAGCUUUAGUGGAAGACAAAGGCUGCUGUUCACCAGGAGGAAUGGUCCAAACACCAGGCACAUGAAGAAUCCUAUGAACUUUGAUGCAUUCCCAUAGUUCAGUUCUGUGGCUAAGGGAGGACAAGAGCUGGUGAGAAGGCCUGACAAGUUUAAAAGCACAGGUUUCCAGCUACAUGUGUUUACUACAAGUCUUUCUCGAAAUACAGGCUUUCUAAUUGUGCCUUGCAGCCCAAUCUGAGUGCCAACCAGAGCCUCAAAACAUAUGACUCAGCUGAGAUUUCUCCCAGUGCACCAGAAGUAUCUGUUAGUCCUGAGGUGAUGAGGGGAACUGAGAGAGAACCAGAGUUUGGAAACCAAAGCCAACCCAGUGGCCAAAAGCAUUUCCCAAACUCCUCAAAUCAUUUAAUCUGGAAAGCUGCUCCAGCUAGAUGAGUAAGCUGCUGUACCAUACUAUGUUCUUGUGUUUUUCAAAGUAGCUAAUAGAAACAAAAUUUAGGACAGCAAAUUUUCAUGCAGAAUGUUGCACCUGAGGUGUUCCGAUACCAAAACAUUUCAGACAUCUAAAUGUCAGGGCCAGGAGAUGCUAAAUGCAGUUAAUACCACAAUAAUGCUUUCUGAUAGGGGGAACUAGAAAAAGUGAAAGGUAAAAGGAGCAGUAAAUAGUUAACACAGCAAUAAGACUUGGAUUUUAGCAGCUGCCUUACAUCUUCUAAACAUUGCUAAAUGAUUAACUAAUUGAUAGCAGACCCUCCAUGCACCAGCUCAGUGCAGAGUCGCAGGGAGGAUGCCAGCAGAGUGCUUUUUUUGGCUGGGUAGGUAGAUGAAUGUUGCAAUGUAAGUGGUAGUAAUCAGUACUAUUACCAUACACAGCACAGUACCAGGCCCUCUGGGUCCUGGUUCUAGCAGUAGUAACCUUGCCUUUGAAAGGAUAUAAUUGCUCUUGUGGGGUUGCCUUACAUGGAAACCAAAAUGAUAUCAAGCUUUAAAAAUUAAAUUAUGCAGCAAGUCGGAGUAGGACAGAUUUGUUCUCAAUAAAACACAAGAGACUACUUGCUUUGGUGACCUAAUUGCAGCAGGUCUUUUUGGAAAAAAAAAAAAGAUGAUGAUAGCUGAUUAAAAGGAGCCAGGGAGCUUAUUCACAUUUGCCAAGAGCACACAGCAAAUCAAGCUUUAUGGCUCCAAAUGAACUUGGCGCUUUGUCCAGAUUAAAUUAAGAAAGGAGGUCACCCAAGUGAGGAGUUCAGGAGAGCACUUGAGACUGGAAGGAUGAGAAAUGAACAGCAGAACUGAAAUGAGAAAGGUAUAAGGGAGACAGAAGACAUUUGCUGCUCCCUCCAUUCAUUUUCUUCAAUGGCUAGUGGGCAGAGAGAAGGGAAACUUUGACAGGAGCAAGAAACCACAACAACGUCCCCCCUAAAACUGCAUCCAAAACAUCAAUGGGAACGAGUGGGCAGUGCUGGGAAGUCUUUGGCACAUGGCUAACCAGUA